GCGGGCGUAGUUUAGUGGUAGAACUCCUGCCUUCCAAGCAGAUAGUGCCAGUUCGAUUCUGGUCGCCCGCU
rnacentral:tRNA from 1 species